GCCUGCUGUGUUGCUGGAUGCUAGAAUGUCGGAAAAAAAGUGAAAGCACAUCUCAUCAUGGGGUAAAUUGUCUGUCGAAAAUAAAUGUACUUAGUUUCUGAUUUGAAUGCUGCUUUCUGUGAAAAUAGGCUGGAUUGUUAUCAUUGUCUGUGAGGGCUAAUCUAUCCUGAGCGGAAAAAAAACAUGUGCAGCUGAACAAAAGGCACAGUGCAGAAUGCAGAUUGCCUGGCUUAAGAGCUAGAAAAUGCAGAAUUGUUGGGAUGAAGGACCUGGAUGAAAGCACCACGUUUGGGGGCAAACUGCAAUCUCAUCUGAACAUCAAAGACAAACUUGCCUCAUAUCAUGAGAUCCAAGAAUGCAUAGUACUUGCAAUGCUUUUAGAACAACCAUGUACUUGGCAGUCAAAUCGCAUGACCUGGAGACACGAGAAACAGCAAGUAAUGGAGGAAGUCAGUGGUGCAGGCAGCAUCUGCAGCGGAAAUGGACAGGAGAUGAUUCAGGAGUAAAGUGCUAAAAUGUUUUAAAAGUGCCAGAAGCUGGAUUGGGAUCAUCCCCUGUGCGAUUUUGCCAACAGCACAACAAUUGACACAGUCAAACACAGCUGUGCAUGCCUCCCUCAGCCACUGCAUAACGUGGGUGGUAAUUAAGCCACAGCUUCAAGGUUGCAUAGGCACAAGACAAUUCACCCUAAUGAAGUAUCGAUUGGUUGUGGCCGAGGUAAAAGAAGUUGACAUUCAUUUAGAGGAAGUCUGGGCAAACACAACAUUGCCCAGCUGCACAACAAAGGCAGUAUCACCAAAUUUUAACCUUGGGAAAACAAUUUUGAAUCUUAUUUAUGAUGAUAUUUGCAUAUUUUUUUAAAAAAUAUAACUAAUUAUGUCAUUACUGUUCUGACAUCAGAAUCUUAAAUCAGUGGAAUUAAUGUUUAUUGGCAGAUGCUACAAAAGCAAAUGAAGUUUCAGCAUGUCAAUUACCGUAAUAAUCUCCUGAUCGCAUGCUACUGAAUUGUUGGUAGGACUGAGUGCAGCAAAUUAAGUGGCAUCUUGGAAUAAUUUUAUGGUUGUUGACAUUGAGCUGUUAAUCUUAAUGUAUCGUAUAAAACUGCUGGGGUAAUACAGGAGACAAAAUUAUGAUUUUAAGUGGAAAGGUUAGAAUAUGGAACCUAAGCAGCUGUAAAGAUAUCACUGUAAAUGUUCUUUUAUAUGCUAGAAAUUCUAUAUCCCUCAGAGAAACAAACUUACCAGACCAUUAGUUCUCAUCAUACUUAUUUUACUGAUCAUAUUGGUUCUGGGGCAUUCCAAGUGGAAUUUCUAAUAUAAACACAAAAAUGGUCUAUGAAUCAUCAGUCACAAUGUGAUAUUGUUAAUACUGAAACCCCUUUACAAUAGUUCUUUUUUUGCAGUGGAUGAUUAUUUUCCUGCAAAAAAAACUAUUAAAUCAAGGAUGCAUUUGAAAGUUUUGUACAGGCACAUCAUUUUUCAUUACCAAUGUCACCCCCUUAGAAUAAUAGUUCUGAAGUAUAUAGUAGUUCUGGUAAUGCAGCAAACUAGGAAACAGUUUGCCUCUCCAAUUCAUUCUUUCAAUAAAAUGUUCUUG